rnacentral:rRNA from 1 species
AUGAACGCUGGCGGCGUGCCUCAUACAUGCAAGUCGAGCGAACAGACGAGGAGCUUGCUCCUCUGACGUUAGCGGCGGACGGGUGAGUAACACGUGGAUAACCUACCUAUAAGACUGGGAUAACUUCGGGAAACCGGAGCUAAUACCGGAUAAUAUAUUGAACCGCAUGGUUCAAUAGUGAAAGACGGCUUUGCUGUCACUUAUAGAUGGAUCCGCGCCGCAUUAGCUAGUUGGUAAGGUAACGGCUUACCAAGGCAACGAUGCGUAGCCGACCUGAGAGGGUGAUCGGCCACACUGGAACUGAGACACGGUCCAGACUCCUACGGGAGGCAGCAGUAGGGAAUCUUCCGCAAUGGGCGAAAGCUUGACGGAGCAACGCCGCGUGAGUGAUGAAGGUCUUCGGAUCGUAAAACUCUGUUAUUAGGGAAGAACAAAUGUGUAAGUAACUAUGCACGUCUUGACGGUACCUAAUCAGAAAGCCACGGCUAACUACGUG